AAAUAUCAUGACAUAUAUUAACAUUAGAUAGAUAUGUAUCAUCCAUCUUAAUGAUGUAGAACUAUGUAGUAAUAACUACAAGUUUAUUUGUAAUAUAAUAGUAUUUUGUUGAAGAAUGUCUAAGAUUUCAAAUCUUGAGUGGUUUUGUUGUUUGUGAUAAGCUUUAUUAGUUAUACUGGUCUACUGAUUUGAAUGAAUACCACCAUAUUCUUUGCACUGAGUUUUGACCAUUGUAACAUAAGCUAUUUUUCUUGUAUAUUUUCAGACAGUACCAUUGAGCUUUGCUAAGGACACCUUAAGAAUGAGGGUUCUGUCAUUCUUUUGAUUCCGGACAGAGGAUUUUGGUCUGUUAAAUUUGAAAUAAAGCACAAAAACUAUAGCAAAAGGAGAAUUGAAUUUAGUUGUGGUUGGAAAGUCUUUGCCAAGGACAAUUAUUUGAAAGUUGGCGAUGUCUGCAUUUUUGAGCUUCUUAAGAGAUCCGAAAAUGUAUUCAAGAUUUCCAUUGAUUGUGCUGCUGAUUAUGCAUCCGACUAAAAUCUCAAGCUGGUGGAAUCAAAGCUCCUGCCGCGGAUCCCCUCUACUCUUAGACAGGUAUCUUACUCUCCAAACCCAUUUUAUGGUUUGAUUUUUUAUUUUACUGCCUUUCUCACUUGUUUAUAUGUACAUUUGUGUGUUUUUUUUAUUUCUAACACGGUAGCUCCCUCUUUCUCACAUUCUCUAUUACUCUCUCUCUCUCUCUCUCUCUCUCUCUCUAUUUAUAUGUGUGUUUAUGUAUUUUAUUUUAAUUUCUGUUUUGUUUUACUAAUUUUUUUUACUUGGUGAAAAGUCUCUCAAUCAAGUUUAUAUAGAUAUUUAUUUUAUAUACAUAUUUCAAUUUUCUUCUCUACUAAUUUUGUGCUCUGUUUUUUGUGUGUGUGUGAAAGGGGAAGACUUUAUGGGUUUGUUGUGUGCUCAUCUUAGGUCUCUCUCAACAUCCUAAAUAUUGCGAUAUCUAUAUGUUUUUUUAAUUUUUGUUUUGAUUUAUGUUGUAUUUUUUAGAAUGUAUCUAUGUGUUUUUUAAUUUGUGUUUUGAUUUAUAACGUUUAUAUGACGUAUUAUUUGUGGUUUGAGAUUUCUCAAAUAAUUUGAUGGUAAACAUGGUUAUGGAGGAUUAACGGUUGACCUUUACUAUGGUGGUUUUGGAAGUGAUCAUGGUUAUUGUGUCAAGAUUGUGGAAGAGGUCGUCACUAUCAAAGGCUUGGUUAUGCAGCAAAAAUGAAGUCAUCUAAUUCUAAAGAAGGAAGAGGAAGAUCAUUAAUGUUUAUGAGCUCAUCAGUAUGCUAGAGCUGGUACAGGAAUUUUUGGAGUGCUUAAAGCAAUGCGAAGGAUUUACGUUGAGAAAGACAAUUUUGAUCAUAGUCAAACCUACUGAAGUGAGAAAGCAGUCAUGGA